AUAGAACUCCGUUGCUUUAGGUUUUUCCCCUUUUUCUCUCCUCAGGUCUUGCUGUCAGCUGUUAGUAUCAGCAAUGAUUAAACAUAAGCAAGCAUUGUGAUUCAUCAAGAACUGAUAGACUCAUCACUGAUGUAAACAUUCUUUCGUCCCAAGGUCAGAUCAGGAAAAGGAGGCCAGAGUUGUGCCAUUAUAAAACAGAACUUGAGGAAGAUGACUCCAGUUCCAGUAGACAUAGUGGGCAAGGAGAAGAAGCCACAGACCACUUGCAUCAGCUUAACUAAGACUGCAAAGCUGAUUCCACAGUGUGUCAUUUUGGAUGUGAGGAAACAGUACAGAAGGAGUGAAGAUUCGUGCAGCACCUGCAGAAGGCAAUUGAGCAUUACCUGUCAUAAAUACAAAUGCAUUUACUCUUUGGCUUGGAAAUUCCUUCACAAGAUAUUUAUUCUACAGAUAUACAGUCAAACACUCAAGAACUAUGUGUGAACAAGAAAAUUCCAGGCCUGUUUUUUAUGUUUGAAAAGAUCAGAAACAACCUGUAUGACCAUCAAUUGGGGACUAGUUAAAUAUAUUAUGGCAUGUAAUCUGAUGGAUUUUUGCAGCUAUUAAAAAUAAUGGGGCUGCUUUUUAUAUAUGAUCUGGAAGGAUCUUUAAUGCAUGCUGGUUAGUGAAUUAAAAAAGCAAAGUACGCAACAGAAGGUAUAGUUUGAUAUAUAGCAUUUCCUCACAAAAUAUAUCAUAGAUGUCAUAUAUAAAUAUGGAAAAAGUAAACUAUAUAUAACAUAUAUAUGAUGUACAUACAUAACAUUUCUCUAUCUCACACAGACACACACACAUACACACACACAUCAUAUAAAUGCUUAAAACACUUAAUAUAAUACGUUUGACAACAGUGUUUGCCUUUGGGGUGUGAAUAAAAGGACUAGCAGUCAGAAGUGAAAGAGAAAC
ensembl:lncRNA